AUAGAAUAAACCUAUUCUUCGAUCCUUUGCAGACUACGCAUGCUGACGCAGCUCCCCACCCGAGCUAUAUAUUAACAAGUCAGUUGAAUGUGGUGCAGCCGGUGCUGCACGCUGCACAUACAGUGUGCAGUACUGUUAACUGUUUACAGAAUGUGACAGGGCAAGAACUCAGUGAGAGCAAGCACUCAGACGUGAAAGCGAAAGUAAUGGGAUAGCAAUGACGGAAGUUCCUUGAUGUAGAUCUAUCCCUGCUGGAGCGCAGAGAAAAGUGCACCGGACACAACGCAUAAGAGCACAAGAUUUUCACUGCGAGACUCGGCAGCGUGGAACGCAUGGAGUUUGCUACUUCAUGAGAAUCGAGAUUGCAAUGUAUGAAACUGAAAUGCGAAUCUGACGUUCAACUUCUAAACAUGAGUGGGAGUUCCUGGUCCCGUCCAUUAGCUAACAUGAGCAUAAAAUGACAUAUGUUCUCUAUAGGUAUAUCUUCAGUAUUUAUAUCCUGGCAUUGAUACCGUUGUCUUUUGCAUUUUCCUGUGAAAACCGAAAGGCCAUGAAUUCCAUUACUGAAGAUUUCAAGAACAUUAUUAGCCCCUUAAUAGACGACCUUAACAGAAGUCUUUCAAAGCUCACAGAGGACACAAACUGCGAGGAUAAUCACACAUAUUCAUGUGAAGAAGAUAACGAAAUAGGAUCAAUUUUUCAAAUGAUUUGUUCUAUGAACAUUAAAAAUAAACUGAGAGACGUCAAAGUGAAAUCGAUACAUCUUGUGCAAAUUGUGGAACAGUCUCUCGGAUGCUCCUGUCACAGAAGAAAGGAUCAUACAGGAGUUCAGCAUGGAGCUGAAAAACUGAAGAGACCACACCGGCGAGAGAAAAGGCUUUGCAAAAUAAGGAGACUUCUUGGUAAUAUACAGAACUGUUACACGCGGAUAUAUGUGAAGUAUAGCUCAGUAGAUGGCACCUAAGCGUGGAACACCCAGGUACAGGGAUCACUGAGAACAAUAAUCCACUUAACUAAUGUGUAAGCUUGCUUAAGCACUUAACAUAUACAUAUCCUUUCUCUUGGGAGUUUGAAUGGAGUCAAGUGAGUUCAAGCAAGCAGAAGGAUGUUAUUCUAAGGCGUAAUAAAUUGGGUGGAUAAGCCCUGCCAGAGGAUGUUUUCAGAAGAAGAGAAUCAGGUUACUGGUGGUGCUUGGAAGACAGUAUGGAUCCUCCAGUUGUCAGAGGGUAAUGUGUGAAUGGAAAUAUGUUUAACAAUAUAUUCACUAGUGUAUUGCUUUGCUGCGUAACUUAUCUAACUUUUGCAACAGAAGAAAUUUAUAAGCUAAAAUAAUUUGCCUCCUAUUUAUACUGUACAAAGCUGCACUUCAGAUUGAAAAUAAUUUGCAGGGAUACACAGCAGUUUAUCGCUAAUUCAAAAAAGCAUAACUGUCAUGACAGUUUGCAAUGUGAUAUAUGGCUUCUAGUGAAAUUCCUAAACACUGCUCAAUGUCAGGUAUUAAAUUUCAUAUUGAUUUGGUAUAACUUAAACCUGCAUUAGCUGACACAGUCUGUAAUAAGAACUUUUCACAUUCUGUUAUAACUUGCUCACUUUGUAUUGGGUUUUGAUUAAUACGGCUUUGCAGGUGAGGUGUGACAAGUCAAGCAAGCUGAGGAGUGCUGACUGUUGACAGUGUGUGAAUGUCUUAAAUGGCCCUCAGACAAACCCAACACUCGAGGAAGAGCCUUGUGCAGCAGACCUCGACUUAGUUGCUGUGAGAUGAAAGUUUAACCUUUGUCCCUGGUAAUGGCAGCUAUAAGAAACCAUAAUCAGCCUUAGGGUCUUGCAAAUAAAUCAAAGCUUUUAACACUGAUGUUUCUGCAUUCUAUUCUGUGAAGUUUUAUGAUGGCACCUUAAAAUGUGGGCAAGGAAUCCUGCUAUUAGAAUGUGUUCUCUGUUGUCAUUUAUUAUCUACUUUCAAUUGUAAAACAGUAACCAGAUGAGCUUUAAAAGACAUUACAGUACUACUGGAAUUUUGUAUUACACUGUGCACUCCAUGUGCACCUAUUGUAUAAGAUGUAUCAUGUAGCUGUAUUGUUGGAAUCUAGUGUACUUUAUAGACUGUUUGAAAAACGUUUGGAUAUUCUGAUAAAUGUAUAUUUCUAGACAUCAGCCUUAUGAGCACUAACUCAUUGACUGCACAGUAUAUUGAGUAAUUUGUUUAGAUCCUAAUAAAUGCGAGAGAGAGAUGAGAUGUGCAGAGUGUACUUGGCAUAGCUCACCUGGCGGAGAGAAUUGACCAGACCCCCCUGUAUUGUGAGGACUGAGCCAGGGUGUAGACAAGAUGGCGGGAGGGGUAUGAGAGAAACACACUAUGGGACAUCCCGGCUGCGAAACAUACAUACAUAGGUGAGAGGAAUUGUGAGAAAUUAAGAUCUAACCUUCCUCCCGAAUUUCUGUUAUAAACUCUAUCAAGCAGUUGCAGUACUGAGGCUGGUCACGCCUGUUUGAAGGUCUCAGUGCAGCUGGAAGACGCAGGCUAUCUGUUUCGCCGAAACCUCGCCAAGUUGUCUCUCUCGCAUAUAGUAGGAUCGUAAUGGGGAAAAAAGGGUACGUGAAUAGUUUUUCGGUGGACAGAGCAAACGGUAUUGUUUGGACUCCUAAAUCUGAAGAAAGCAGCAGACAAAAGAAGCUGAGACUCGCAUUCAUCUAGUCGUCUUCCAGCUGUUGGGCAGAUGUUUUUCUCUGCCUCACCUGGAUGGGUGCUGAAGACAGGGACUUUGGGGAAAAUGCAGUGUGCCCCAGCAGGAUGGGCCACAGGGAGCUGGGACAGCUGUUGGGAAAACGUUUGCCUGAGUGCUGGCCGGGCAGCAAGAGAGCCAGGACUGAGACAGAGAGUGCCUCUUGCUGCAGGGGCGCUCUUUCCUGCCGCUGAGGGGCAGCUCUGCUGCAGCUCUUGCUAAAUCCCGCCGGCAAGGUGAAGUCCCGGACACACACUCCAGAGACGCACACAGAUGGGAACUGUUACAGGAGGCCUGACGAGAGGAGUCCCUUCGAAAAUACUGCCACAACCGCAAAGUGUUGAGUGAUUUUUCCUUUCCAGCGACUUUUUGCUUGAGUGUUAAGGACACAGUUCCUGAUCCUUAAUUAUUACCUUUGUAUAGUCCUUCAGUGCCAAGGGGAGUGUGGACCGAGGUUCAUGUGCGGUACGUGUUGAAUGUUGGCAGCACAAUGACGAUCAUGAAGUGUUCUAUUUUUUACCCAUCCUAUUGAGUCUGCUUAUGACUACUACUACCUAUACAUCACAGUGCCAAGGAAAAACAUAUUUUUUCGCCAUUUACCUUUUUUGUAAUGUUAAACAAUCGUAAAUAAAAAGGGAGUAUGUGGCUCGUAAAAACAUGGUGAUCGAGAUUUUCAUGAUAAGGUUUUGCUGCUUACUGUUGCUUAAACCGAGUGAGAUGUUGAGUGAUAAAAGAUUUAGCAGUGAAAUCAUCAAUUGUUUAAAAUAUAUGUUUUUAAUAUUUUUUGGAAGCUUCAUAAUUAAAUAUUUAAAAUUCAAUAUACAGUAUAUUGAAUUCAAUACAUAUUGAAGUUGCUUAAAAUUUUGGUUCCCAUUGUAACAUUGUUAGUCAUUAUUUAUGUAUUGGGUAUUCGGUUCACAUACUGUAUAUUAUUAAAGUUAUAUAUAGUGACAUGAUUUAAAGAAUAUCAUCAGUAAACCCCAUGAUCUGCAUAGGAUUUGGCCAAAAGACUCAUAAUGCAAUAACAUUGUUAGGUCUAACAUGAACUCUGAAAAUUUCAAAAGAAAUCAGGAAAUUGUUAAAUUAGCUUUAAAAGUAAAUAGUGGAAUAAUUCAUAAUGUCUUAUAAAGUACAGAGUGCUUUAUGCACCAUACGAUCUGUGUUUGAAGAAUUCACCUAAAGAAUAGACUGUUCUCUGAGGCCAACAGACAGACCUAACUUAAAGGAAACUCCCCUCCAGCAAGGAGCAGGACCAGUAAUACUGUAUCAGGUGUAACCAAUUCAGAAAUAAACAGCUGAUCAUGGCUCUUAGACAUCAACUUCAACAAUAGUUUUGCAGAACUGGUCUGAUGUGGCUUAUAAGGGUUGAAUCUUGAAUUUCUGACCUGACCUGGAUUUCGAUCCCAUUAUCCUAGACUCAGUUAACACCCUCAGCACCUUUUGGGUUUUGCUCGACCCUGAAGACGUCUGGGCAUCAGUACACUGUAGCUGCUGCUUGUGUAACCAGGCAGGAACAGGGGUCGCAUGAGGACAUGGUGCGAUAGUGUGGAGAAAAGCUAAGGCCCUGAUUACUCCCUGAGGACAAGUUUUUGUUUCCCCUUGAAGAAAACGUAGCUAUGGCACCUUCAGCAUUUCCUCACACUUGGAAGAUGCAAUGAGACUUCUUUACAAUCUGCAUUUCUUGUCUGGCUUUCUUCCUUCACUGCUCUGGCUGUUUAAUUAUGCAGCAUAAUGUUUUUAAGAUAUUUUUCAUUUACUGGCUCCAGUAUGCAGCUUCACAAAGAAGAAACUGAGGCUAAUAUUUCCCUUGCCUGCUAUAUAUGAAAAGUUAAUGUAGUGCAGUAGGAGGCAUACAAUACUACAGUAUAUUGUAACUGUGGGGCUUCUUUAGAAAUACAUUCUCCUUUAGGAGUUAAGUAUGCUUAGACUUCUUGAGUAGUGAGAUCCCACUAUAGUAAAAAGUGUAUCUAAAAACAGCAAGGCUUUAUGUAACAUUUAAACAAUACAUAGGUGUUUUAAAAUGUGUUACAUGGAUAAUGUUUUGACUGCGAUUUCAAAUGAACUUGCAUGAUUUCCAUAUGAUGUUGCUUAUUCUUUGUGUUGCUCUCCAGUGCAAAUGCAAAAUUAAAGAU